UUAACUCAAAUCUGUAUGGAGUUAAAUCGUUUGCGUACGUUUGCCGCUAGGGGCGCUGGUCCAACUGCAUACAAAAUUGGGUUA
rnacentral:pre_miRNA from 1 species